rnacentral:tRNA from 1 species
GCCGGUGUAGCUCAGUGGUAGAGCACUCGUUUCGUAAAUGAGCGGCCAAGGGUUCAAGUCCCUUCACCGGCU